AAAUGUCUUCAGGGCAGGGUGAAAUUCCCGAUCGGCGGUAUAGUCCGCGAGCGCGUAAGCGCAGGGCUUGACAUGACGUUCAAGUCAGGAUUUGGUGAAAUUCCAAAACCGACAGUAUAGUCUGGAUGGAAGAAGAUGUGC
rfam:Ethanoligenens harbinense YTAN-3, complete genome.